CCUACGGGUGGCAGCAGUGAGGAAUAUUGGUCAAUGGACGAGAGUCUGAACCAGCCAAGUAGCGUGAAGGAUGACUGCCCUAUGGGUUGUAAACUUCUUUUAUAAAGGAAUAAAACGCGGCACGUGUACCUUUUUGCAUGUACUUUAUGAAUAAGGAUCGGCUAACUCCGUGCCAGCAGCCGCGGUAAUACGGAGGAUCCGAGCGUUAUCCGGAUUUAUUGGGUUUAAAGGGAGCGUAGGUGGGUUGUUAAGUCAGUUGUGAAAGUUCGCGGCUCAACCGUGAAAUUGCAUUUGAUACUGGCGGUCUUGAGUACAGUUGAGGUAGGCGGAAUUCAUGGUGUAGCGGUGAAAUGCUUAGAUAUCAUGAAGAACCCCGAUUGCGAAGGCAGCUUACUAAACUGUAACUGACGUUGAGGCUCGAAAGUGUGGGUAUCAAACAGGAUUAGAUACCCGGGUAGUC
rnacentral:rRNA from 1 species